GGCACGUAAAGCCCAUUAGCAUGGGAGGGAGGUUUAGUACCACAUUGCUAGUUGAUGUGGGAUGGUGAGACUUUUCUCCCUAUAUAUUAAACCAACCUCUCAUGGCAACUCCACACAAAAAUAUAGACUACCCAUAGUGAGGCUCCUUGUUUGGGAAUCCCUAAAAUAAUCUUUUCCCUAGAAUCCCACCAUCCUCCGCAUCCAUGCAUCUCCGGUGAAAUCCGACACCACUCUAGUGCUCAGCUCGUCGUCCUCUUCAUCGUGGUGUCUUCCUUCUCUUCAUUCGUCGCUGAGAAGCUCCGUCGUCGCGAAAACCUGAACUAUGGCCGCUUUGUUGCAGCAUGGGAGAGCACCUUCACGUAUUUUCCCUUGCUCUCUUUCUCUUAUUAUUAAAUCGUGGGGCCAGCUAGCCAGUCCCAUCUCGUUGUUUUCUCUCGUGCUUAACUAAAACUCAAACGGAGUCAAAGUCUUACCCACCAACAUUCUGGUUGUACACAGCACGUGAGGCCUGGUUCACUUGGCCUUAUAGAAGAAACAAACAAAAAAGAGAAGGCCGAGCCUCCCUGCGAUCUGCUCUUGCUCCGUCGGCCCAAGCCUACACGAGGCCCUGCUACCCCGAACAGCAGCCGUCCCAGUCGAGUCUGGCCUGGGCACGAGCCAUCGCCGUUCCUGGCGUGCACGCCACGCCCGGCCAGGGUGUUGCGCCAUAUAAAUCCCGAGGCCAAAUCCCCUGUGACCUGCCGUAGCAUCGCCGGCCCUAGGCCAUCGCGAUCCCCUCGGCCCCGCACCUCCCUGCUGCUCGCAUCUCUCCGGGCUCCCUGUCCUCUCGAGCACAGCGCCGCCGCCAGAAAGCCGAGCGCCCUAGUCUUCCCCGCAGACCCCCCAUCGCGCAUCCCCUCCCAGCCAGUGCUACUGCGUGUUGGAGCCGAGAGCCCAGACCUCCAGCGAUCUGGCCUCCUGCUAGAGCCCUACACCUCGCCUUCUGUCAUGGCCCUGGGAAAUCACGAGCACAAGGGCCCUGCACGUAACAUCUUGUCUCACUCGUUCCCGGCCAUCGAUCACCGCCGCCGUCUCCGAGCAGACCAUGGGCGUCUCUUCCUGACCAGAUUCCAGGCACUACGAUGCAUCGGACAGCGAGCUUUUGUCCGCCAGCCACAGAGGAGCCCGAGUUUUGCAGAUUGACCCCUGAAAUCUGCAGUUAAUAGCAAGUAGGUCCAUGCAGCCUUGUUUCUCCCAUAGAAUCACCGUUUUAGCUCCGUUUUCCGCGUUUCUUACGUUGUCGUAACCGUAACAAUGAGCCUUAUCCUUUAGUACGUUCUUUUAAAGCCUUUCUUUUGUUAUGGUGUAAUGUUCUUAGUUGUAACUUUUUGUUUGCUUUGUAUGGUUGCCCGAUGAUUGCUCCGAGUAGAAGGAUCGUUGUUCGAAGUUGAAGAUC